AAAACGACUCUCGGCAACGGAUAUCUAGGCUCUCGCAUCGAUGAAGAACGUAGCAAAAUGCGAUGCUUGGUGUGAAUUGCAGAAUCCCGUGAACCAUCGAGUUUUUGAACGCAAGUUGCGCCCGAAGCCAUUAGGCUGAGGGCACGUCUGCCUGGGCGUCUC
rnacentral:rRNA from 1 species